GCUACAGUCGUUUAAUGGCAGGACUACUAUCUUCCAAAUAGUUAGCGUGAGUUCGAUUCUCACCUGUGGUA
rnacentral:tRNA from 1 species